GAUGCUGAUGGGGGGGGUGGAGACCAAGAAAGGAACAGAUUUCAGAGUUGCUGCGGAGGAAGGAGUGAGGAUAUAGCAACAGCCUGGCUGCGGGGAGGAGUUGGCGAUGAUGACAGCUUGAUGCUCAGGAGUUGGGAAGAAGGAGUCACGGCGGAAGUGACGGGGAGACACCCAAGCUGCCCUCUUGGGAGCACUGGCAAGAGCACUGAUGGUGGCCCAGGAGACAAAGCCAUCAAGAAGCUUGGGCUCAGGGAAGAGCCUCGCAUGAACACCAGGAUUGAACCUACGUUAGGAUGUGGUCUCCAGAUGCGCCAGCUCCUUCCCAGCUGAGCUGUGUUGAAUCAUCUCACUCUUACUCCCUCUCCAAGGUGCUCUCAGGCAGGACCUCGUGACUUUCGUAGGAUCUGACGCAAGAUCUGUUUCAGGUAGGCAGUGUCUGUGGAAUCUUCGGGUAUAGGGCCUGCAUCUAAACAAGAGGAAGUGUUUGGGAAUGAUUUAUGAAAGAGGAAACACCAUGAAAGCCAUUUGAUCCCUUCAGAGAAAAGAGAUUCACAAGUCUACAGUGGCGGCGUCAAUCAUAAUGGCCAAUUACACAACAAUGUCAACAAUUACACCUUGCAUUUCUGUGGCACCAGCUCCCAAAGAGCAUUAAACAUGUUCAAGUUUA